CUGGGCCUUGAGAUUCCAGGUACCAGGAUGAUCUUCAGAUGGCACGUGACCUCACUGCUAGUCGUAGCAAUUCAAACAAACAUGGUAUAGGCAAAAUUAACAUUACACCAAACAUAAGAACAAAAUACACAUUAAUAAUAUACAUAUUAAAAUAAGAUCACAGGAAAAAGAAUUAUUAAUUUUUGAGUUAUAGAAUUCAAGUUAUGAAUUUCCUAAGAUUUAAGGUGAUUAUAAUAGGAUUACAUGAUAAAUUUAUUUUCUAACAGAGUUCAUGUCAAAACAGUGAUUCUAAAUGAUAGAGAAUAUUAUUACAAAAUUUUAGGAAUUGGAAUGACUCAAUUUGGAGCUAAAAUGAAUUUUCUAUGCAUUUUACAAGUUUCUAGAUUUGUUUUUGUAAAAAAUGAAUUUCUAAUAUUAAUUUCUCUGUUUUUAAUACUCUCGGGACUGGGCGUCAAAUUCCAGAAAACUCAGGGGCCACGGAGUAAGUUUUCCGUGACACAGUGAAUAGUAAUAGGUGGACGGCGGGUUUAUUUCUUUAGAACUCAGGGACUCUUUAGCAAUUGUGACACGGCGAAGGGGUACGGGGCACCGUGAGCCGUCAGAUCCGAGACGUGCGCACCAGAUUAGAUCUGGCCGCCCGCGAAGCGGUACGCCGCACGGCCCGUCCAUUCUGCGAUCAACGGCGCGGAUCUAAUUACUCCGAAAUCUCCCCCGAUCCGUCCGAUCAAAAUCGAACGGAUCCGAUUCAUGCACGAAGCGUUACUCCCUCUUCUAAUCUCGGACAUCCGCGUCACGAUCAACGGCCCCCAUCGUUUUACCCAAUCCCGCCCCAAACACGGCGGCGCCGCCCUCACGCGCGGCGGAGCCAUCGCCGGAGUAUGCCAAAUCGAGAUCCCGAGCGCGAAUCACCACAAUUAAGGGGCGGUAAACAUAGCAGAGAUUAAGGCGAGACUUACGGAGGUGUCCUCACCGUUGAUCGAGCUUGCAGGCGCGCGGUCCACGGCGUCCCUCUUUCCGCCGACCCGCUCACCCUCGAAUACUCUCACUCUCGUCGCGAUGGUGCGCCAGGGGUUGCGAAGAUGGAGUAGAAGGCAAGCCGGAACCUCGUUGCAUCAUAUAGGGAUAGCACGGUCGAGCAGGAUCAACGGAUUCCCGAGUUUGGUUCGCGCGGGGACUACGGCAUGAGC
rnacentral:lncRNA from 1 species